CAGAGUUGAGUCCUGGGGAGAAGGGGCAAGACUGUGCCACCGAGAUGGGUGGUUUUCCAGACCGGCCACUUCUUAAUUCAAGAAUGCAAACCUGCCCCACUGAUGCCAGAGGCUCAGCGAGGGAUGAUUUUCAGCUGUUUCUUUGCUAAACUCCAGCUGAAUUCAGGUCUCCUGCAAGAGCGACAGCAACAACGCUUCAAAAACAUGAGUAUCAACAAACGUUCCCUGGGACUCUGUUUGGUUGCAGCUCUGUAACGGUCUCAAAUACAUCCUCUUUCUCAAUCCUGGCAUCCACUCCGAGAGGUGGCUUCUGUCCAAGAUGAGUACCAGCCAGUUGUCCUCUCCUGUGGGACAUCUGAACCCAAAUAAUUCACCAGUCACUGCAGUCUGCUGUAUCCACUGCCCCAUUCCACUGGUGCACUGC